rnacentral:rRNA from 1 species
UGCAGUCGNNCGGCAGCGCGGGGCAACCUGGCGGCGAGUGGCGAACGGGUGAGUAAUAUAUCGGAACGUGCCCUGGAGUGGGGGAUAACGCAGCGAAAGUUGCGCUAAUACCGCAUACGAUCUAAGGAUGAAAGCGGGGGAUUCGCAAGAACCUCGUGCUCCUGGAGCGGCCGAUAUCUGAUUAGCUAGUUGGUGGGGUAAAGGCCUACCAAGGCAUCGAUCAGUAGCUGGUCUGAGAGGACGACCAGCCACACUGGAACUGAGACACGGUCCAGACUCCUACGGGAGGCAGCAGUGGGGAAUUUUGGACAAUGGGCGAAAGCCUGAUCCAGCAAUGCCGCGUGAGUGAAGAAGGCCUUCGGGUUGUAAAGCUCUUUUGUCAGGGAAGAAACGGUGAAGGCUAAUAUCCUUUGCUAAUGACGGUACCUGAAGAAUAAGCACCGGCUAACUACGUGCCAGCAGCCGCGGUAAUACGUAGGGUGCAAGCGUUAAUCGGAAUUACUGGGCGUAAAGCGUGCGCAGGCGGUUUUGUAAGUCUGUCGUGAAAUCCCCGGGCUCAACCUGGGAAUUGCGAUGGAGACUGCAAGGCUAGAAUCUGGCAGAGGGGGGUAGAAUUCCACGUGUAGCAGUGAAAUGCGUAGAGAUGUGGAGGAACACCGAUGGCGAAGGCAGCCCCCUGGGUCAAGAUUGACGCUCAUGCACGAAAGCGUGGGGAACAAACAGGAUUAGAUACCCUGGUAGUCCACGCCCUAAACGAUGUCUACUAGUUGUCGGGUUUUAAUUAACUUGGUAACGCAGCUAACGCGUGAAGUAGACCGCCUGGGGAGUACGGUCGCAAGAUUAAAACUCAAAGGAAUUGACGGGGACCCGCACAAGCGGUGGAUGAUGUGGAUUAAUUCGAUGCAACGCGAAAAA